GAUGAACGCUGGCGGCGUGCCUAAUACAUGCAAGUCGAGCGAACGGACGAGAAGCUUGCUUCUCUGAUGUUAGCGGCGGACGGGUGAGUAACACGUGGAUAACCUACCUAUAAGACUGGGAUAACUUCGGGAAACCGGAGCUAAUACCGGAUAAUAUUUUGAACCGCAUGGUUCAAAAUGAAAAAAGGGUCUUGCUGUCCCUUAUGGAUGGAUCCGCGCUGCAUUAGCUAGUUGGUAAGGUAACGGCUUACCAAGGCAACGAUGCAUAGCCGACCUGAGAGGGUGAUCGGCCACACUGGAACUGAGACACGGUCCAGACUACUACGGGAGGCAGCAGUAGGGAAUCUUCCGCAAUGGGCGAAAGCCUGACGGAGCAACGCCGCGUGAGUGAUGAAGGUCUUCGGAUCGUAAAACUCUGUUAUUAGGGAAGAACAUAUGUGUAAGUAACUGUGCACAUCUUGACGGUACCUAAUCAGAAAGCCACGGCUAACUACGUG
rnacentral:rRNA from 1 species